rnacentral:ncRNA from 1 species
CUCUAAUACAAAUUUCAGAUUAUGUAUUUUAAGGAAUACAUACAGUAAAGGUAUUAGUAUUAAAGAAACCUAUUCCUUCCUAAAGAGAUUUUAGGUAAACAGGUAUCAAUAAAAUGUGUAUUAGUAGAAAAACGAAUAUACGCA